GUGUACCAUGAUUCGUCUUGAGUGUCCAGGGCCCUACCAACACAAUUGCACUAUUGUCCUCGGUUGCGCUUCACCACUCUCUGGUUGGUUGUUUGCAUGUGCGCAUGGAUCUGCUGGCGAAUGUAUCGUUCUCGCGGCAGCACCUUUACCAUACUCCUGUCGCAACAAAAUGGUGCCGACCGGGCUGCGAAGAAGCAUUUCGUUGUAGCGUUCGGUCAUAAAAAAACGGGUGAAUGCGUAACGGAAAUGUAGCAGCAAGCUUUCAUCUAAUUUCACCAAAACCCAACUGCCACUUAUUGCUGAGUGUUCUUUCUGUGAGCCACUUCGUACUCAACAGUGACACGUUUCGGGGUAGCAAAGAACGGUGCUUCUUCUUCUGCUUCUGAUUGGUGCAACGAAUCCGGGGCGCAUCAUAAAACUGAACCUUCGAGGUUUUGUCUGUGCCGAGUCGGCGAGUGGGAGAGGGAGUGCGAUGGGAUGGAAUGUAAUGCAGUUUACAAGGUUGAUGUAUAACGGAAUGACUUUCACGGAAUGAAUGAAUGAGUGGAGAAAAUUUACAAACACCAGGAAUCAGCGAAGAGGAACACACAUUUCUCAUUUCUUUUUAUUGUGCUGUGUCGUGUGUAUUAUGACAGCAGAGGAAAUAUCCUUGAAGAGGUCAAAUUCUUGAGACGAUGGCGUACAAAAUAUUAUUUGCAUUUUUGCUUCUUCCGAAUAAACCAUAUUUGCUUUAAAAUAUUAUUCUAUUAAAAGAUCUGCCGAUCUCACAGAUCUAUUCAUUAUGAUCACGAUGCCCUGUACGCAGCUACGAAGCUACGAAAACUAUCAAAUCAAUGAAGUCAGAAAUGGUAGUUCAAGAUCUUUCACGGUGAUUGUGGAGUUCUAAUGAAGACUCAGUGGCACAUUUGUUGCUCAAUUUCCCUUAAUUAAAGGAAGCAUUGGGGAGGCCCGGUAGCAGGUGCGAUCGUAUUAUUUUAAGAUGCUUACCUCUUGUGUCCUGACCAACAACAAAAAAGUGCCUCAAAUAAUGUUCCAUUUUAAACCAAAGCAUUUUAUACGCAGAAUAAAAGGUCAAACCCCUGGCAA